GGGGAUUUAGCUCAGUGGUAGAGCACUUGCCUAGGAAGCACAAGGUCCUGGGUUCGGUCCCCAGCUCCA
rfam:Rattus norvegicus chromosome 5, whole genome shotgun sequence.